UCUCACAGUCUUGCGUGAUCACACGUGAGCUCACAAAACCGAAGAAGAAGAAACACUUCCGGAUACACGCCUAUGUUUCCCGAAUUUUCCCGAAGGUUGCCAGAGUCAACAGCCUUGUAAAAUGUUGAUGUUCUCGAAAAACGACUUGCUUUGGAAAAUACUUCUUACCGUCUGGGGAACCCACUUUUCUACAUAAAUGAACAUCGGCCUCAUGGCUACACUACCUGGUCAUUCAUCGCCUCUUGAAGAUUGCCUCUCCUUUGAGUUGCAUCAGCUGGAGUUCACCGUCAUUUGGCAGUCCACUAAUGCAGUGGUGUCCAACCACUGGUCCGCGGACCGGUACCGGGCCGUGUGGCAUUUGUUACCAGGCCGCAGAGAAAGAAUGACCAAUUUAUAUCAUUUCUGUUGUAUUGCAAUUCGCAUGUCAAUGUGUUUUAUUUUGAAAAUUGACCGCCUCUUCUCCGCCGCAACAGCUGCGCUUCUCAAUUGACACGUCGAGACUGCACAGAACGCUUCCGUUUCCGGUCCCAGCCGGCUCGAACGCUUCUGUUUCCGGUCCGAGCGGGCUGGCUAACAGCAGCAGAGCUCAAAGAAUGAAAUCAUUUCAUAAACUAAUUCAGCUCAUUAUGUUUACUGAAAAGAUUUGUUCUGAUAUUAAUCAGAAUACCAUGUUUAGUUUAGACUAGUGGGGGCACAUAGAAUAGAGAAAUGAAAAUAAAUUCUAGGGUUUAAAUCCCUUUAAAUCCUCUUGUGUUUUCAUGCGAAAUGUGCAUUGAUACACAAUAGUAAAACCCUAUGUCAAAAGAAUUACUUGCAUAAUACAAACCCUAACCUCUAAACAAAACACCAACCUCAAACCAAAACUGUAACCUGUGAUUACAAACCCCAAGUCCAAUGAAGUUGGGACAUUGUGUAAAAUGUAAAUAAAAACAGAAUACAAUGA